rnacentral:rRNA from 1 species
GACGAACGCUGGCGGCGCGCUUAACACAUGCAAGUCGAGCGGUAAGGCCCUUUCGGGGGUACGACGAGCGGCGAACGGGUGAGUAACACGUGGGUGACCUGCCCUCAGCUCUGGGAUAAGCCUGGGAAACUGGGUCUAAUACUGGAUAUGACUCCACGGUGCAUGUCGUGGGGUGGAAAGCCUUGUGCGGCUGAGGAUGGGCCCGCGGCCUAUCAGCUUGUUGGUGGGGUGAGGCCUACCAAGGCGACGACGGGUAGCCGGCCUGAGAGGGCGACCGGCCACACUGGGACUGAGACACGGCCCAGACUCCUACGGGAAGCAGCAGUGGGGAAUCUUGCGCAAUGGGCGAAAGCCUGACGCAGCGACGCCGCGUGAGGGAUGACGGCCUCGGUUGUAAC